rnacentral:rRNA from 1 species
AGAGUUUGAUUAUGGCUCAGGAUGAACGCUAGCGAUAGGCCUAACACAUGCAAGUCGAGGGGCAGCACAUGAAGUAGCAAUACGGAUGGUGGCGACCGGCGCACGGGUGAGUAACGCGUAUGCAACCUGCCUACAACAGGGGAAUAACCCGUUGAAAGACGGACUAAUACCCCAUAACACAGGGAUCCCGCAUGGGAAUAUUUGUUAAAGAUUUAUCGGUUGUAGAUGGGCAUGCGUUCCAUUAGCUGGUUGGUGAGGUAACGGCUCACCAAGGCAACGAUGGAUAGGGGAACUGAGAGGUUUAUCCCCCACACUGGUACUGAGACACGGACCAGACUCCUACGGGAGGCAGCAGUGAGGAAUAUUGGUCAAUGGACGCAAGUCUGAACCAGCCACGUCGCGUGAAGGAAGACGGCCCUACGGGUUGUAAACUUCUUUUGUAAGGGAAUAAAGUGCAGUACGUGUACUGUUUUGCAUGUACCUUACGAAUAAGGAUCGGCUAACUCCGUGCCAGCAGCCGCGGUAAUACGGAGGAUCCGAGCGUUAUCCGGAUUUAUUGGGUUUAAAGGGUGCGCAGGCGGGAGAUUAAGUCGGCGGUGAAAUUUUGCAGCUCAACUGUAAAAGUGCCUUCGAAACUGGUUUUCUUGAGUGUGGAUGAAGUAGGCGGAAUUUGUGGUGUAGCGGUGAAAUGCAUAGAUAUCACGAGGAACUCCGAUUGCGCAGGCAGCUUACUAAACCAUAACUGACGCUCAUGCACGAAGGCGUGGGGAUCAAACAGGAUUAGAUACCCUGGUAGUC